AUGACAUCACCCAUAAUGUGCUGGUCAUGGCAGGUUGGGACCAUGGUGUCGGUGCUCUUGAAGAAGAAAGAGAGGCACAGAGGAUGGCAUCUUGGGGCCAGCGGGAGGAAGCACAGACCCGGCUCUGGGCCUGGAGGCAGAAGAGUGGGAGACUCCGGUGGUACGAGGUCUAGGCGUGGCACCCCCUCUGCCCUGGACAUGCUGAGUGACUUGAAGCCUCCAUUUCCCCAUCUGCCAAGUGUGUCCCCUUGCUGGAACUGUUCCCCACCACCAUUAACCACACGUUUCCGGUGGGAUUUGCCACAAUUAUUCUCCCCAGGUGGUGAGCACCUGACCUACGCUGAGCCAAUCAGUGUCUUCGCAGAGAAUUUGGAAUCGGAACCAAAAGACUUGGCGAAAGGCCAGCUGUCUUCACAUCUAGAGGCCACGUCAAGCCGGGAGUUGCUGACAGCCGUGCUUUCCACUCCUGACCGGAGGAGUGGACAGAGCCAGCAGACAGCGGCAAGCCCCGCGGAGGGGAAAACAGAAAUUCCUGGUGGAUGACACAGGCCCGGCGGCCGCCUGAGAGCCGAGCACGGGACCGGCUGGGCCGGCUUCGCCCGCCCUGAACCCGCCGCCCGCCCGCCACCAGGGCCGCGGGAACCCGUCAUCAGGCUAAGUACAGAGCGGGCGGCGGCGGCGGCGGCGGCGGGAAAUUGCCGGUUCCCGCUGACCCGCGGGGCCUGCGGGCGCCCCGAGUCUGGGGGCUGGGGCGGGGGCCGGGGCCGGGACGGGGGCGCCCCGGGGGGCGGCGUGGGGGGCUACGAGCUCCCGGGCAGGAGCCCGCCCCGCUCAGGUGGGGGGGCAGGGGAGGGCAGGGAUGGGGGGGCAGGGGAGAGGGGGCGGGGGAGGGCAGGGAUGGGGGGGGCAGGGGAGAGGGGGACAGGGAAAGGGGGCGAGGGAGGGCAGGGAUGGGAGGCAGGGGAGAGGGGGACAGGGGUGGGCAG
rnacentral:lncRNA from 1 species